AUUGAACGCUGGCGGCAUGCUUUACACAUGCAAGUCGAACGGUAACAGGCCGCAAGGUGCUGACGAGUGGCGAACGGGUGAGUAAUGCAUCGGAACGUGCCCAGUCGUGGGGGAUAACGCAGCGAAAGCUGCGCUAAUACCGCAUACGAUCUAUGGAUGAAAGCGGGGGACCGUAAGGCCUCGCGCGAUUGGAGCGGCCGAUGUCAGAUUAGGUAGUUGGUGGGGUAAAGGGCCACCAAGCCAACGAUCUGUAGCUGGUCUGAGAGGACGACCAGCCACACUGGGACUGGGACACGGCCCAGACUCCUACGGGAGGCAGCAGUGGGAAUUUUGGACAAUGGGCGCAAGCCUGAUCCAGCAAUGCCGCGUGCAGGAAGAAGGCCUUCGGGUUGUAAACUGCUUUUGUACGGAACGAAACGGUCCUGGUUAAUACCCGGGGCUAAUGACGGUACCGUAAGAAUAAGCACCGGCUAACUACGUGCCAGCCGCCGCUGUAAAAC
rnacentral:rRNA from 1 species